GGUGGCUCAGUGUUAGAGCACUUGCCUUGCAUGCAUGAGGCCCUGGGUUCGAUUCCCCAGCACCA
rnacentral:tRNA from 1 species